GUUCAGGGGUAAACCUGCGAAACUCGAAUGAACGAACGGAGAGAUUCAUCGUCAUUCCGCGGCGUACGUGCGUUCGCCUCGAUGCCGUCGACCACGGUCGAUCGGCACGGGUGUCGUGCGUCUACGUCCACGGACGGCGUGCACUUCUCUCUAAGUAAUGCAUCGCGACCCGUUCGAUGUCGGCCUAAGCGCCGUUCGGGAGCCCUGUUGUCCCCACUGUGGGCGGCAGGACCGCGACGGUUGCCGGCCGGCCGUCGGACGGUAUUUUGUACGAAACGCGCACGCGUUUAUAACGCGUCCGGCCCGACGCAAGGUGAUGUUCGUGUACGAAGUCCUGCCCGAGCGCGGACGUCGUCACGGCGCGCCUGUCGUCGCUGCCGUGCAGUCUCGGACUGUGCGCGUCUCCGUCUGCGAUGUUUCAGUUUCGGGCACUCGCAGGACCCGUCUUGAAACACGGACCAAGGAGUCUAGCAUGUGUGCGAGUCAUUGAGAUUAAUAAACUGAAGGGCGCAACGAAAGUGAAGGCGUGCGCUAGCCGCGCGCUCAGGGAGGAUGGAGCGUCGGUCUCGAUCGAUCUCCCGCACUCCCGAGGCGUCUCGUUUCCAAUCUGUGAAUGCAGGCGCGCUCUGAGCACAGAUGCUGGGACCCGAAAGAUG
rnacentral:rRNA from 1 species